rnacentral:rRNA from 1 species
CCUACGGGAGGCAGCAGUGAGGAAUAUUGGUCAAUGGGAGAGAUCCUGAACCAGCCAAGCCGCGUGAGGGAAGACGGCCCUAUGGGUUGUAAACCUCUUUUGUCGGAGAACAAAACCCGGGACGUGUCCCGGACUGCGUGUAUCCGUAGAAAAAGCAUCGGCUAACUCCGUGCCAGCAGCCGCGGUAAUACGGAGGAUGCGAGCGUUAUCCGGAUUUAUUGGGUUUAAAGGGUGCGCAGGCGGCGUGUCAAGUCAGCGGUAAAAUGUCGGGGCUCAACCCCGGGCGGCCGUUGAAACUGGGGUGCUCGAGUGGGGGAGAGGUAUGCGGAAUUCGUGGUGUAGCGGUGAAAUGCAUAGAUAUCAGGAAGAACCCCGGUUGCGAAGGCAGCAUGCCGGCUCCACACUGACGCUGAGGCACGAAAGCGUGGGUAUCGAACAGGAUUAGAUACCCCAGUAGUC